ACGGGUGAGUAAUACAUAGGAACGUGCCUUCAGGAGGGGGAUAACUGCUGGAAACGGCAGCUAAUACCGCAUGAUCUCGCAAGAGCAAAGGUGGCCUCUAUUUAUAAGCUACUACCUGAAGAUCGGCCUAUGUCCCAUUAGCUAGUUGGUAGGGUAACGGCCUACCAAGGCUACGAUGGGUAGCUGGUCUGAGAGGACGAUCAGCCACACUGGAACUGAGACACGGUCCAGACUCCUACGGGAGGCAGCAGUGGGGAAUCUUGCGCAAUGGGCGAAAGCCUGACGCAGCAACGCCGCGUGAGUGAAGAAGGCCUUUGGGUUGUAAAGCUCUUUCGACUGGGGAGAAGGGUUUCGGUGUGAAUAAUUCCGGAAUCUGACGGUACCAGGAGAAGAAGCCCCGGCUAACUUCGUGCCAGCAGCCGCGGUAAUACGAAGGGGGCAAGCGUUGUUCGGAAUCAUUGGGCGUAAAGGGCGCGUAGGCGGACUUGUAAGUCGAUUGUGAAAUCCCUGGGCUUAACCCGGGAAUUGCAGUCGAAACUGCAAGUCUUGAGUUCUCGAGAGGAUGGUGGAAUUCCUGGAGUAGUAGUG
rnacentral:rRNA from 1 species